rnacentral:rRNA from 1 species
AUUGAACGCUGGCGGCAUGCUUUACACAUGCAAGUCGAACGGCAGCACGAAAGAGCUUGCUCUUUUGGUGGCGAGUGGCGAACGGGUGAGUAAUGCAUCGGAACGUACCGAGUAAUGGGGGAUAACUAUCCGAAAGGAUAGCUAAUACCGCAUACGCUUUGAGAAGGAAAGUGGGGGCUCUUCGGACCUCACGUUAUUCGAGCGGCCGAUGUCUGAUUAGCUAGUUGGUGGGGUAAAGGCCUACCAAGGCGACGAUCAGUAGCGGGUCUGAGAGGAUGAUCCGCCACACUGGGACUGAGACACGGCCCAGACUCCUACGGGAGGCAGCAGUGGGGAAUUUUGGACAAUGGGCGCAAGCCUGAUCCAGCCAUGCCGCGUGUCUGAAGAAGGCCUUCGGGUUGUAAAGGACUUUUGUUAGGGAAGAAAAGGAUAGUGUUAAUA